AGAAUCCUCUUCAUCUUAACUCAAUAAAAAAACAAACAAACACCACCAAACAUAAUUGAAAAAACAAAAUGAAAAUCAACGGUGGCGCGUGCAUGACACGCGCCACACUGGAAAGGAGUCAUUCGACCGGUCAAGACGUUGCCGGAGUCAUUGGGCCCUGAGCUACCGCGCAUGGCGUCAACAAAAGAUGAAUAGCGGUGGUUUGAGAACCUCACGCGUUUCCUUUAAAACGCGCGUCGGCGCAACGCGCCGCUCUGAUUGGCUCCCAAUCCGGUCGAUCGUAAGAUCGACAGGUGAGGCUUCUCCCUGUGGUGCGCGUGUCGGACCGUGGUCAUCAGAGGAGCUCGAAACGGCUACCCCCUUUAUUCGGCCAAAAACCUGAAAAAAAAAAAAACAAAAAAACAAAAAAACCAAACCAAAACAAUCGGACACGAAGCACGGGUGAGGAAAGGGAGGAGAGGAAGAAGAAGAAGGAGCCGAAGCUCCCCUUCCCC